rnacentral:rRNA from 1 species
AAUAUUGGUCAAUGGGCGAGAGCCUGAACCAGCCAAGUCGCGUGAAGGAAGAAGGUUCUAUGGAUUGUAAACUUCUUUUGUAAGGGAAUAAAAAAGAGUACGUGUACUCUAUUGUAUGUACUUUACGAAUAAGGAUCGGCUAACUCCGUGCCAGCAGCCGCGGUAAUACGGAGGAUCCGAGCGUUAUCCGGAUUUAUUGGGUUUAAAGGGUGCGUAGGCGGACUUAUAAGUCAGCGGUGAAAGUUUGCAGCUUAACUGUAAAAUUGCCGUUGAAACUGUUAGUCUUGAGUGUAAAUGAGGUAGGCGGAAUGUGUUGUGUAGCGGUGAAAUGCUUAGAUAUAACACAGAACACCAAUUGCGAAGGCAGCUUACUGGGAUACAACUGACGCUGAGGCACGAAAGCGUGGGGAUCAAAC